GUGGAUAUAGCUCAGGUGGUUAGAGUAUCAGGUUGUGGCCCUGAGGGUCGCCGGUUCAAGUCCGGUUAUCCACCCCA
rnacentral:tRNA from 2 species